GACCAGGGGCUGUAGUUGGUAGUAGCGCAGGACUGUAAGGUGAUUGCUGAUAUCCUGAGGUCCCUGGUUCGAUCCCAGGCGGCG